GCCUAGAUAGCUUACCCGGUAAAGCACUCGCUUGAAGCGCGAGAGUAGCAAGUUCGAGUCUUGCUUUGGGCA